GUGUAAUACAAAAUUAUUACGAAUACCUAUCUUUCGAUUUUCAAAAAGAACCGGUCACGUUUUUUUACACUCGUUCGUCCGUAAAAAUAUUAUUUUAUCUAGUAAUAUUAUUACUUGAACAUUUCCAUUUAUCGUCGCCGCCGUGCCAAUAGAACGAUGAAGGGAAAAAAAUAAUGUUCUAAUGUCUUAUUUCGUCCUUAUAAUAUAUGUUCGGAAAAAGUGUAAAAAGCGAC